CUGAGCUGAAACCAUGGGAUCCUUUUCACCUGAGAGGAGCCCGAACCACCUGGAACAGGCACAGUGCCCCUGGAGCCCCAAGGCUGCCAGUGGAGCCUGGUCCUGGGAGCCAGGCUGGGUGGGGCCGUUCCUUGCUUUCGAGGCCAUGGCAGCCAAUGACUAGAUCAGUCAGGUCCUGCUGCAGGCUGCAGGUGACUGUUGGGGACAGGACGGGAGCUGGCUUCCUACUCAGGACAGGGGGAAGCCUCACUCCUAUGGCCUCCAUGGCGUGGACUCCCCAGACCCCAUCCAACGGUGCCCAGCCCCUGUCCGAGCUCAGAUGUGGGGUAGGCUGAAGCAGAGGAGGGUCCUGCCUAUGGGGUGAGGCCCAGUAUCUGUGCGCCUUGUCCUCGCAAGGUCCCAGGAAGACACAGGACGGCACUUCCUAUGUCAUGAGGAUAGCAGAGCAGAUCCAAGGCCCUGCAGCAGGUUCGGUGGCCCUGUGCAUGGGGGACACACAGCUGGGACCCCAACGCUGGGACCCCAAUGCUGGGACCCCAACCUUGAGCCCAACAGGAGCUGGGACAGUGUGAGCUAAGGGCUGCACUGGUCACCCGCACGAGCCCCAACACCUAGGCAGAGACCUGCCAGGCCCUACAGGCAGCUGGCCCGAGCCUGGGGCCCCCACCUUUUCUCUGUGCAGUCUGGGGAUGUGGCCCGUACACCAGGCCCAGAGGUGUUCGGCCUUGGCCUUCCCUCCUUGGCUUCCAGCGCUGCCUGCUCAGCCAUCAGUAUCUACUGUGGACCUGUGGGUGCCGCCAGUGCUGGAUCAGGCCUGAGCUGAGAGUCCUCCACCCUGCAGCCCCAGCGGACAGCCAAGGCUGGACAGGUCACAGUGCCCCGUCCCCAGCUGGAGCCAGGGUGGCCGAGGCUGGGCCCACUCAGAGAGGGGCCGGGGUUGACCAGGGCCAGAGGGGCUGUCCUGCUGGGCCACACCCUCCCUGCCUCCUGCCAGUGUCCUGCCUGGGAGCCCUGUGCAUGGGGGGGGGGGUCACAGCCCCUCGGCCUUGCUGGGGUGGGGUGUAGUUCUGAGCAGUAGCCCCUGGGCCAGGGAUGGCUGGGUGGGGAGCCCAGCCAGGCCACAGGCAGCCUCUGAGGGCAGGCACAGAGCCAGGUUUCCAAUGGCAGUGGGGAGUGUUUUAGCAGGCAUGGAAUCCUGGAAAUUGCUCAGGAAAAACCCUGUCCUCGGGCCAGCCAGCCUGGCCGAGGGGGAGGGGAGUGUGGCCUGGGCACAGCUGUGGGGUAGCCACAGGACCUUGUGCUGGCCCAGGCUCUGCAGGUGCGCGCAGCGGCGACAGGGUCUCUGCUCACUGUCAGGCUGUGCUGGCCCCCCACGGCUGACACUGGCCACUGUGUCGCCAAGGCCCCUUCCUCCAUCCCCUCUGUCCCCCGACAUCCAGGACAUGCCAGGGUCCAGACUGAGCCUCAGUCAGCCCCCAUGCUCGCCCCACAGCCCCGCGGGCACUCAGCCAGGACCUGAUCUCCCAGGGAGGGUGCCGUGCACUGGGCGCCAGACAGACAGACGUCGGGCAGUGCCCAAUACCUCCAGGCAGCCUUGGCUGCACCCAGGCCACGGAGAGGCGAGGUGAAGGCUGGGGUCCCUGACGGCCUGGGAGAGACGGAGGGAGGGUGCUCGGGAGCUGCGGCCAGGGCUGUCCUGGGUGGAGCCCAGAGCUCUGUCAGCUCUGAGAGGCAGCCAAAGCCUGGUCAGGAGAUGAGAGCCACACGCUGCCUCCCCAGCCUCCCCAGCCUCGG
ensembl:lncRNA